AGAGUUUGAUCCUGGCUCAGAUUGAACGCUGGCGGCAGGCCUAACACAUGCAAGUCGAGCGCGAAAGGUCUUCGGACUGAGUAGAGCGGCGGACGGGUGAGUAACGCGUAGGAAUCUACCUGGUAGUGGGGGACAACUCGGGGAAACUCGAGCUAAUACCGCAUACGCCCUACGGGGGAAAGCGGGGGACCUUCGGGCCUCGCGCUAUCAGAUGAGCCUGCGUUGGAUUAGCUAGUUGGUGGGGUAAAGGCCCACCAAGGCGACGAUCCAUAGCUGGUCUGAGAGGAUGAUCAGCCACACCGGGACUGAGACACGGCCCGGACUCCUACGGGAGGCAGCAGUGGGGAAUAUUGCGCAAUGGGCGAAAGCCUGACGCAGCCAUGCCGCGUGUGUGAAGAAGGCCUUCGGGUUGUAAAGCACUUUCACUUGGGAAGAAAGGGUGACGGUUAAUACCCGUUAUCUGUGACAUUACCUUGAGAAGAAGCACCGGCUAACUCCGUGCCAGCAGCCGCGGUAAUACGGAGGGUGCAAGCGUUAAUCGGAAUUACUGGGCGUAAAGCGCGCGUAGGCGGUUUGUUAAGUUGGAUGUGAAAGCCCCGGGCUCAACCUGGGAAUUGCACCCGAUACUGGCCGACUAGAGUACGAGAGAGGGAGGUAGAAUUCCACGUGUAGCGGUGAAAAUGCGUAGAUAUGUGGAGGAAUACCGGUGGCGAAGGCGGCCUCCUGGCUCGAUACUGACGCUGAGGUGCGAAAGCGUGGGGACCA
rnacentral:rRNA from 1 species